GGAACUUAGAAAUGAAAAAUAGAAAACUUAUGAAACUAUUUAUUUGUUUAUUGUGUUUUUAAUGGGAAAUGAUUGAAAGUAAAAGCCAGUUCAUCUUAUAUUUUUCACAUAUAAUAUAGCUAGCAAAUGUAUUAUAUAGCUGAAGAUUAUAGAAUAAAAGUAAUAUGCUCCUCGCUCAUAGAAAAGUGGGUACUCCUCGAAAAGUGGAUACUCCUCUUAAUAUGAGUGGGUCCCACAAUUAUGUCAGAGAUGAAGCAUGUGCAUCAGGGGCGUCUA
rnacentral:misc_RNA from 1 species